rnacentral:rRNA from 1 species
ACACUAAGAGAUAGUUGUUCUAAUUAUAGUUAUAUAUUUAAAUUAUACUAUCAAGUCCACCUUUUAAUAUUUUUACAAAAUAUAUUCCGGAAAAAUUUAAUAAUGUAACUCACCUCAAUUUCUCACUUAUUGGCUGCACUUUGAUUUGUAAAAUUAUAUAUUAUAUAAUUUAAGCUUACCUAAAGGUAAAGUUCAAUACAACGGUAUACAAGCUUUAAUAAAGUAAGUAGCUUUUACUUGGUGGUUAUCAAUUAUAUGGUAAGUUCCCCUAAUAUAUUUUCUUAGCCGCCAUAUUCUUAAGGUUUGAACUUUAUUAAUAUUAGUUGUAAUCCCUGCAUUAUGUUAUAUAGUUUCUUUAUAGUUGGGUAUCUAAUCCGAGUUUAAAAUUUAGAAUUUUUUGGUAACUUAAUUAAUUAAGGAGGUAUAUAUAUUAUGUAUUUCACCACAAUAAUAUAAAAUAAUUAAAUUAAAAGCUUAUAACAAACAACAAUACGAUUAUAGGUAAAUUAACCUAAUAGGUUUGACCGCGGUUGCUGGCACCUAAUAAACCUAGGUUAAUUAAUUAUCUAAAUUUAAUUUUCAUUAAUAUAAAUUUUAAAAUUAUUAACUGGGUAAAUUAUUUACUUCCCAUAUUAAACUAUACUAUAUAUUUACUCAGGCACCGGAAUAAAAUGCCUUUACAAGGGUGUUUUUUCCAUUUUAGG